AUCAAGCGCGAAAAGGGCGUUUGGUGGAUGCCUUGGCAGUAAGAGGCGAUGAAGGACGUGAUACUCUGCGAUAAGCCAUGGGGAGCUGAGAAUAAGCUUUGAUCCAUGGAUCUCCGAAUGGGGCAACCCACCUGACAGUUUGUUAUAAUUGCCGCUUGCGGCAGCCUAUAAUGAGCUGAACCAGGUACUUCUCACCUGAAUACAUAGGGUUUGAAGAGCAAACCCGGGGAACUGAAACAUCUAAGUACCCGGAGGAAAGGAAAUCAACAGAUACUCCGCUAGUAGUGGCGAGCGAACGCGGACCAGCCGAGCAAUGAGAGUGACCGGAACAUGUUGGAAAGCAUGGCCACAGCGGGUGACAGCCCCGUACGGGAAGCUCGAUUUGACGUAUUAAGUAGGGCGGGACACGUGAAAUCCUGUCUGAAGAUCGGGGGACCACCCUCGAAGGCUAAGUACUCCUUACUGACCGAUAGCGAACCAGUACCGUGAGGGAAAGGUGAAAAGCACCCCGACGAGGGGAGUGAAACAGUACCUGAAACCGAACGCCUACAAUCAGUCGGAGGCUCCUUGCGAGCUGACGGCGUACCUUUUGUAUAAUGGGUCAUCGACUUGGUCUCACGAGCAAGCUUAAGCCGUUAGGUGUAGGCGCAGCGAAAGCGAGUCUUAAUAGGGCGCAUGAGUUCGUGGGAUCAGACCCGAAACCGAGUGAUCUAGGCAUGACCAGGAUGAAGGUAAGGUAACACUUACUGGAGGUCCGAACCCACACCUGUUGAAAAAGGUCGGGAUGAGUUGUGCCUAGGGGUGAAAGGCCAAUCAAACUCGGAGAUAGCUGGUUCUCCGCGAAAUCUAUUUAGGUAGAGCGUCAUCCGAAUACCCUCGGGGGUAGAGCACUGGAUGGGUAAUGGGGCCCCACAGGCUUACUGAUCCUAACCAAACUCCGAAUACCGAGGAGUACUAGAUGGCAGACACACGGCGGGUGCUAACGUCCGUCGUGGAGAGGGAAACAACCCUGACCUACAGCUAAGGCCCCCAAUUCGUGGCUAAGUGGGAAAGCAGGUGGGACGACCAAAACAACCAGGAGGUUGGCUUAGAAGCAGCCAUCCUUUAAAGAUAGCGUAACAGCUCACUGGUCUAAACAAGUUGUCCUGCGGCGAAGAUGUAACGGGGCUCAAGCCACGAGCCGAAGCUUAGGAUGUGCAUAGCACAUGGUAGCGGAGCGUAGUGUGACAUAAUUCCAUGUCUCCUUACUGCCCUCGGGCAGAUUGGAGACACGGAGUUUUCUGUGAAGCCGGGGCGUGAGCCAUCCGGUGGAGAGAUCACUAGCGAGAAUGAUGACAUGAGUAGCGACAAACAGGGUGAGAGACCCUGUCGCCGAAAGUCCAAGGGUUCCUGCUUAAAGCUAAUCUGAGCAGGGUGAGCCGACCCCUAAGGCGAGGCCGAAAGGCGUAGUCGAUGGGAACCAGGUUAAUAUUCCUGGGCCAGGAGGAUGUGACGGAUCUCGACGGUAGUUCGUCCUUAUCGGAUUGAACGGGCUGCUUAGAGGUUCCUGGAAAUAGCCCUCCAUGAGAUCGUACCCUAAACCGACACAGGUGGACUGGUAGAGAAUACCAAGGCGCUUGAGAGAACGAUGUUGAAGGAACUCGGCAAAAUACCUCCGUAAGUUCGCGAGAAGGAGGCCCGGUUUUUACGCAAGUAGAGGCCGGGGGCACAAACCAGGGGGUGGCGACUGUUUACUAAAAACACAGGGCUCUGCGAAGUCGCAAGACGACGUAUAGGGUCUGACGCCUGCCCGGUGCCGGAAGGUUAAAAGGAGAGGUGCAAGCCUUGAAUUGAAGCCCCGGUAAACGGCGGCCGUAACUAUAACGGUCCUAAGGUAGCGAAAUUCCUUGUCGGGUAAGUUCCGACCUGCACGAAUGGCGUAACGACUUCCCCGCUGUCUCCAACAUCGACUCAGCGAAAUUGAAUUGCCGGUCAAGAUGCCGGCUUCCCGCGGUUAGACGGAAAGACCCCAUGAACCUUUACUAUAGCUUCGCACUGGCAUCAGGAUUGCGAUGUGCAGGAUAGGUGGUAGGCUUUGAAGCAGUGACGCCAGUCGCUGUGGAGCCAUCCUUGAGAUACCACCCUUCGCACUCUUGAUGUCUAACCGCGGCCCGUUAUCCGGGUCCGGGACCCUGCGUGGUGGGUAGUUUGACUGGGGCGGUCGCCUCCCAAACAGUAACGGAGGCGCGCGAAGGUUGGCUCAGAGCGGUCGGAAAUCGCUCGUUGAGUGCAAUGGCAGAAGCCAGCCUGACUGCGAGACUGACAAGUCGAGCAGAGUCGAAAGACGGCCAUAGUGAUCCGGUGGUCCCGAGUGGAAGGGCCAUCGCUCAACGGAUAAAAGGUACUCUGGGGAUAACAGGCUGAUGGUGCCCAAGAGUCCAUAUCGACGGCACCGUUUGGCACCUCGAUGUCGGCUCAUCUCAUCCUGGGGCUGAAGCAGGUCCCAAGGGUAUGGCUGUUCGCCAUUUAAAGAGGUACGUGAGCUGGGUUUAGAACGUCGUGAGACAGUUCGGUCCCUAUCUGCCGUGGGUGUAGGAUACUUGAGAGGAGUUGCCCCUAGUACGAGAGGACCGGGGUGAACGAUCCACUGGUGGACCAGUUGUCGUGCCAACGGCAGUGCUGGGUAGCUAUGAUCGGAAAGGAUAACCGCUGAAGGCAUCUAAGCGGGAAGCCCCCCUCAAAACAAGGUAUCCCUGAGGACCGUGGUAGACCACCACGUCGAUAGGCCGGAGGUGUAAGCGCAGCAAUGUGCUCAGCUGACCGGUACUAAUGGUCCGAUAGGCUUGAUUUGAUCCAGUAGAAGCAAGGUCGAAAGACCGACUGGACCAGAAGUCACACACACAACACGACCUGGACAAUCCUGAUGUUCGCACCCCCGCCCGAAAGGGCCGCGGGGUGUUCCUUUCUCGGUUUGGUGGUCAUAGCACGAGCAAAACACCUGGCUCCAUUCCGAACCCAGCCGUUAAGUGCCGUAGCGCUGAUGGUACUGCGUCUUAAGACGUGGGAGAGUAAGUCACCGCCAAACCUAGCAAGGAACACCCGAUCUCUCGACGAUGAUCAAACAAAGAAAUUGGCGCGGGAUGGAGCAGCCCGGUAGCUCGUCAGGCUCAUAACCUGAAGGUCGUAGGUUCAAAUCCUACUCCCGCAACCAAACACAAGCCGCAAAAACGCCGCCCAAAAAGGGCGGCGUUUUGC
rnacentral:rRNA from 1 species